GAAAUGCGAUAAGUAGUGUGAAUUGCAGAAUUCAGUGAAUCAUCGAAUCUUUGAACGCACAUUGCGCCUUCUGGUAUUCCGGGAGGCAUGCCUGUUCGAGCGUCAUCAAACACAUCCUCAAGCACUUGUGCUUGGUCCUGGAGGAAGAUGUCCGCAUCUCCUCUCAAAUCUCUCAGCGGAAAGUACUGCAGUCUCAGGUGUUAUAAGAUUAACUUUUGCUUGAUAACUGUUGGUAGAUUCUUGCUGUGAGGAGGCCCCCCAGCUAUUCUUUGAAGUUUGACCUCGAAUCAGGUAGGGAUACCCGCUGAACUUAA
rnacentral:misc_RNA from 1 species